GACAGAGGUUCCAAGCGUUGGGCGGAAUCACUGGGCUUAAAGCGUGUGUAGGCGGGCGAUCAAGUCCGUUGUGAAAUCCCACGGCUCAACCGUGGAACUGCUGGGGAUACUGGUUGUCUUGAGCCAGCUAGGGGCGAGCGGAACAGACGGUGGAGCGGUGAAAUGCGUAGAUAUCGUCUGGAACGCCGAAGGUGAAAACAGCUCGCUGGGGCUUCGCUGACGCUGAGACACGAAAGCCAGGGGAGCGAACGGG
rnacentral:rRNA from 1 species